GAUGAACGCUAGCGGCAGGCUUAAUACAUGCAAGUCGUGGGGCAGCAUGAGUAGCAAUACUUGAUGGCGACCGGCGAACGGGUGAGGAACACGUACACAACCUUCCUUCAAGCGGGGAAUAGCCCAGAGAAAUUUGGAUUAAUACCCCAUAAUAUAUUUGAUAAGGCAUCUUAUUAAUAUUAAAGCUUCGGCACUUGAUGAUGGGUGUGCGGCUGAUUAGAUAGUUGGCGGGUAACGGCCCACCAAGUCUACGAUCAGUAGCUGAUGUGAGAGCAUGAUCAGCCACACGGGCACUGAGACACGGGCCCGACUCCUACGGGAGGCAGCAGUAAGGAAUAUUGGACAAUGGACGAAAGUACUGAUCCAGCAUGCCGCGUGAAGGAUUAAGGUCCUCUGGAUUGUAACUUACUUUAUAUAGGGAACGAAAAGGA
rnacentral:rRNA from 1 species